rnacentral:rRNA from 1 species
UGGGGAAUAUUGCACAAUGGGCGGAAGCCUGAUGCAGCGACGCCGCGUGGGGGAUGAAGGCCUUCGGGUUGUAAACUCCUUUCGACAGGGACGAAGCUUUUGUGACGGUACAUGUAUAAGAAGCACCGGCUAACUACGUGCCAGCAGCCGCGGUAAUACGUAGGGUGCGAGCGUUGUCCGGAAUUACUGGGCGUAAAGAGCUCGUAGGUGGUUUGUCGCGUCGUCUGUGAAAUUCCGGGGCUUAACUCCGGGCGUGCAGGCGAUACGGGCUGACUUGAGUGCUGUAGGGGAGACUGGAAUUCCUGGUGUAGCAGUGAAAUGCGCAGAUAUCAGGAGGAACACCGAUGGCGAAGGCAGGUCUCUGGGCAGUAACUGACGCUGAGGAGCGAAAGCAUGGGUAGCGAACAGG